rnacentral:rRNA from 1 species
CCUACGGGAGGCAGCAGUGGGGAAUAUUGGACAAUGGGGGAAACCCUGAUCCAGCGACGCCGCGUGAGUGAAGAAGUAUUUCGGUACGUAAAGCUCUAUCAGCAGGAAAGAAAAUGACGGUACCUGACUAAGAAGCCCCGGCUAACUACGUGCCAGCAGCCGCGGUAAUACGUAGGGGGCCAGCGUUAUCCGGAUUUACUGGGUGGAAAGGGAGCGUAGACGGCAGCGCAAGUCUGGAGUGAAAUGCCGGGGCCCAACCCCGGAACUGCACUGGAAACUGUGAAGCUGGAGUGCAGGAGAGGUAAGCGGAAUUCCUGGUGUAGCGGUGAAAUGCGUAGAUAUCAGGAGGAACACCGGCGGCGAAGGCGGCUUACUGGACUGUAACUGACGUUGAGGCUCGAAGGCGUGGGGAGCAAACAGGAUUAGAUACCCGAGUAGUC